rnacentral:rRNA from 1 species
CCUACGGGUGGCUGCAGUGGGGAAUAUUGGACAAUGGGCGAAAGCCUGAUCCAGCCAUGCCGCGUGUGUGAAGAAGGCCUUCGGGUUGUAAAGCACUUUCAGUGGGGAAGAAAGCCUUGGGGCUAAUACCCUCGAGGAAGGACAUCACCCACAGAAGAAGCACCGGCUAACUCCGUGCCAGCAGCCGCGGUAAUACGGAGGGUGCGAGCGUUAAUCGGAAUUACUGGGCGUAAAGCGCGCGUAGGCGGUCUGAUAAGCCGGUUGUGAAAGCCCCGGGCUCAACCUGGGAACGGCAUCCGGAACUGUCGGGCUAGAGUGCAGGAGAGGAAGGUAGAAUUCCCGGUGUAGCGGUGAAAUGCGUAGAGAUCGGGAGGAAUACCAGUGGCGAAGGCGGCCUUCUGGACUGACACUGACGCUGAGGUGCGAAAGCGUGGGUAGCAAACAGGAUUAGAUACCCUAGUAGUC